rnacentral:rRNA from 1 species
UUAAGAUAGUAAGAGCAUACGGUGGAUGCCUUGGCGAUAUCUGCCGAUGAAGGACGCGACAAGCUGCGAAAAGCUGCGGUGAGGUGCAAAUGACCUUUGACCCGCAGAUGUCCGAAUGGAGCAAUCCGGCUGUGGUUAUGCACAGUCACCCAUGCCUGUGAGUAUGGGAGGGAACCAGGCGAACUGAAACAUCUAAGUAGCCUGAGGAGAAGUAAUCAAACGAGAUACCCCCAGUAGCGGCGAGCGAACGGGGCAGAAGCCCAAACCGCAGAAGGAAACUUUUACGGGGUUGAGGGCCGUCAUACGAACGUGGAAUCCAGCUGAAGCUUCUGGGAAGGAGCGCCGCAGGAUGUGAAAGCCAUGUAAGCGAAAGAGGAAGCGGAACAGACGGUACCAGAGUACCGCGGGACACGAGAAACCCCGUGGGAAGCAGGGGGGACCACCCUCCAAGGCAAAACACAGAUAUCGACCGAUAGCGCAUAGUACCAUGAGGGAAAGGUGAAAAGCACCCCGGGAGGGGAAUGAAACAGAACCUGAAACCGUAUGUUUACAAGCAGUCGGAGACCGUAUAUAUAUCAGGUCGACGGCGUGCCUAUUGAAGAAUGAACCGGCGAGUUAUGAGGUCCAGCGAGGUUAAGCAGGAAAUGCGGAGCCGAAGCGAAAGCGAGUCUUAACAGGGCGAGUAGUUGGACUGCAUAGACCCGAAACCACAGUGAUCUACCCAUGUCCAGGUUGAAGCACAGGUAAAAAUGUGUGGAGGACCGAACCUAUAUCCGUUGAAAAGGGUUAGGAUGAGGUGUGGGUAGGGGUGAAAUUCCAAUCGAACGUGGAGAUAGCUGGUUCUCCCCGAAAUAGCUUUAGGGCUAGCCUCAGGGUAAAGAUUGCAGGCGGUAGAGCACUGAUCAGGAGAGGGACCUACCCGGUUACCAAACCCAGUCAAACUACGAAUGGCUGCAAUUAUACCUGGGAGUCAGACUACGACUUAUAAGGGCCGUGGUCAAAAGGGAAACAGCCCAGAUCAUCAGCUAAGGUCCCAAAUGCCGUGCUAAGUGGCGAAGGAUGUGGCGUUUCAUAAACAACCAGGAUGUUGGCUCAGAAGCAGCCACCAUUUAAAGAGUGCGUAAUAGCUCACUGGUCGAGAGACGCUGCGCCGAAAAUGUCCGGGGCUCAAGCACGGAACCGAAGCUAUGGCAUUGCGUAAGCAAUGGGUAGGGGAGCGUUCUUAUGGGGAAGAAGCAUUACCGUAAGGAGAUGUGGACACAUAAGAAGUGAGAAUGCCGGUAUGAGUAUCGAAAAGAAAGGUGAGAAUCCUUUCCACCGAAAGCCCGAGGGUUCCUGAGCAACGAUCGUCGUCUCAGGGUAAGUCGGGACCUAAGCCGAGGCACAGACGCAUAGGCGAUGGACAACAGGUUGAAAUUCCUGUACCGGAUGGAGUCAUUUGAGCAAUGGAGUGACGCAGGAGGGCACAUGAUCGCGCGACUGGAAGAGCGCGUCCAAGUGCGUAUGUUGAAUCGGAGGCAAAUCCCCGAUUCUGAAAGCAGAGACAUGAUGGGGAGUUAUAAGCGAUUAUGACGAACUCAUGGAUCCCACACUGCCAAGAAAAACUUCUAGCGAGACGAAAUCCGCCCGUACCGUAAACCGACACAGGUAGGCGGGGAGAGAAUCCUAAGGUGCGCGGGAAAACCCUCGUUAAGGAACUCGGCAAAUUGCAUCCGUAACUUCGGGAGAAGGAUGGCCCUGAGUAGGCGAAGUGCAGAAACGCACGGAACAGAAAAGGGUGGCAGAAAAGAGGCCCAAGCAACUGUUUACCAAAAACACAGGUGCCUGCGAAAGCGAAAGCUGAAGUAUAGGUGCUGACGCCUGCCCGGUGCUGGAAGGUUAAGGAGAGAGGUUAGCGCAAGCGAAGCUUUGAACUGAAGCCCCAGUGAACGGCGGCCGUAACUAUAACGGUCCUAAGGUAGCGAAAUUCCUUGUCGGGU